rnacentral:lncRNA from 1 species
UUGGACCUGAGGAUCUUGGAGGUCUUUUCCAACCUUAAUGAUUCAAUCUUGCUGCUGGGUGAAAGGCAGGUUGAAUGGGUGGCAUGGUCCUGUCUGACUGUGGUUAGCCUGGGGCUUGCAGAGAACCACAUCUAAGAGGGCUUAUGGCAAUGAGCACAUUACCCAUUUCACUGGGGGUUUUUUGUUUAUUUUGUUUGUUUGUUUAUUUGUUUUCCAGAGAGAAAGAGACAAAGAUGGGUUUAUUUCACCUCCAAACCAAAUACUUCAAAGAAAAAGAUCAUCCCUGCCAUUUUCCAGUGCCAUGCAAAAAGCAGAGGAAGUCAGACUAUGACUGUUGA